rnacentral:rRNA from 1 species
GACGAACCGUGCGAACGUUGUUCGGAAUCACUGGGCUUAAAGGGCGCGUAGGCGGGCUGUCAAGUCUGGGGUGAAAUCCCACGGCUCAACCCGUGGAACUGCCUUAGAUACUGACGGCCUCGAGGGAGAUAGGGGCGAGGCGGAACUGUGGAGUGGAGCGGUGAAAAUGCGUUGAUAUUCAACAGGAACUCCGGUGGCGAAGGCGGCUCGCUGGAUCUUUUCUGACGCUGAGGCUGCGAAAGCUAGGGGAGCAAACGGG